GUGUGUGUGUGUGUACAUUUGCGUGUGUGUAAAUGUACAGGUAUGUACUUAUCAUGAAAGGGGGCGAGGACGCUUAGGGAAGCACACACAUGGCCCAAAGGUUGACAACGACAACCCGAAAUUCAACACCAAAACGGAUGCACACUUUGAGGUCAACGAAAACAACAACCCGCCUCAAAGUUGAGCAGUCCAUCCUUAACCCCAUCACUCCUCGGCCAUUACACAUUCCUUUAUGCAGCUCGGCUGACCUCUGCGCCCUUUGCCACCGACUAACACGGCAGUUAAGUCCAAGGUUGAACGGACACAACAACGGCAGUGCCAGGUACCACUGGUGGAUAAGAGGACCUGACAGCUGUAGCAUUGUGCAGUGAUCAUCACCCAGCAGGGUGGGUGCAGCGGGGGUGACACCCAUCCCAUUGACCACCCUCAGGGAGCCCGGCUCCAUUGUUGCAGCCUACCCACGUCGCACAUUCCUGGAUUGAACCAUGCCGUGUCGUACCGCCGCACAACAGCAACGUGCAACGUAUUUAGCCAUAGGCUUGUGUAGCAUCACACACACACACACACACACACACACACACACACACACACACACACACACACACACACACACACACACACACACACACACACACACACGUAUAUACGUACACUCCACCCACACCCCAAGUAAGACUUCCGUUGGCCGCAAUCUGUAAUGAUAACAUUAGGCUGUCAUCAAAAAAAGAAAAGAAAAUUGUAUUCGGGUAACGGCAUUUAUCUCCUGAAUUUGCAAUGAAGGUUUUCACCUCAUAGAUUCAAGGUGAUGAACAGCAUACACGCACAUCCCUAUUCGAUACUGAAUUACAGGCCGCCACUUAUUUCCUCAUAUAAUAAACAAUACUCUCCAACACAACAAUCCAAAUGUAGAUCAUCUUCAGAUAGUACACCUUCAUAGAUAUUGACAGUAUUGUCAUGGCCUGUAAGUUCCAUGUGCCAUUCACAGGAAAAAAAAGGCAAAACUUGACACAAGGAGGUACCAAAGUAUCUGUUUGUCAUGAUUUAGUUACUGUUUGGCUCCAGCAGGUGAUCGAGGUGUUCCGGUCUAUCCAGCUGCUCACCUGUUACGCAUCAUGCUCAACAACUAUUUCAGGACUUCCAAGCCGACAACCGACUGUCGGAUAAUUCGCCUUGCUCAAGCUAUUAUUCAUGUACAACUUUCGAGACGUUCCAGGCUUUGCUCAGCUUUUCUCAUUCCUUGUUAAUUGCUAUCCAUUUUCUUGUAAAUAGUUUGUUAUGUUAUUCUCGGUUUGGUAUUUGGCAUGAUUUAUUUCUUCUGUCCUUUUGAGACGAGCAAUUUCCGUUUGUAUUUUCCUUGCCUUCUGCAAGCGCAUUCGCGCUCACACUCUCACCGAGGGACAAUUUAGAGUGUUCAAUCAGCCUGCCAUGCAUUUUUUUGGAAUGUGGGAGGAAACCGGAGGACCCGGAGAAAACCCACACAUGCUUGGGAGAACAUGCAAACUCCACACAGGGAGGCCAGAGCCGCGAUCGAACCUACGACUUCUGUACUGUGAGGUCAACGCGCUAACCACUCGAUCGUUGGGCCACCUUAAGAUAAUUAGUUGGUUUAAAAUGGCAGAUCUGGGUAAAAGUUGUGUUUGGGGGUUUGCUGUUGCCGAGCCAUGGAAAGAAGACCAAUGUUAACCACAGAAUGGCAGACAUCACUCACCAGGUGCUGUGAAACGCAUCAGAGAAGAAGAGGAUAGUGUCAUGGCCACCGUAACGCGGUCUCAAAAAUACACAGACAACAAUGAUUUUGUUUUUCCACAUCACUGAGUGUUGGUUGGGAGUGCAAAAGGAGUUAAUCGAUUUGUGUCCUCCAAAAACAGAGAUGGAUUCAACGCUGAAUAGUGUGACAAACGCACAUGGUCAAUUAAUUGGAAGAGCGGCUGUUGUGGUGGACUCUCCUUACCAAGGACACCCAUCGGGGAACAACUUGACUGCCCUACACUGUACUCCAUUCACACAGAGUGAUCAGCACCCCAAAGGAAAAACUUGGCAUAAUCUUUGGAAGAUGGAGCUAGUUUGACAAGAGAAGUUCUUCCCAUCGUUUUUGCGGCUGUAUGUCCAGAGCAACGCGGAGGAGGAAGCCGUCAUGCUAAGGGCUGUCCAUUCCAUUAACCCAACCGAUGCUCUUUUCUCAUGGAAAUCAGCCUGCUGUUGCCUCUUCCACCAGCAGCCACCACCACUGCCCCCAGUGACAGCAAGGAAUUGUGGGGGAUUUUUCAAAGACGAAAGACCUCCCUCCAUCUCAAAAGCAGCUUUAGCUCACACACAAACACGCAAACACAUUAGCAAAUGUGCCGCGCACCAUCCAUAAACACGAGCCUCAACGUGAGAGGAGCGCGUUAGAGCAACUCUAACGCCCCUCAUCUUUGUGCUCCUCCACGUACUGUUAAAGCAUACCAUGUUAACAUUUUUAGGAAGUUUUAUCGUUUUCCUUUGGAUGCCAUCAACUAAUGAUCUACGCAGUCAUGCAGCUUGCUUUGAAUUGCUCGCAGAUUAGAUGGCUCUGUUUUAACCUUGACAUCAGGAGAUUGGGCAUAUUUAUGGAAAGAACUACAAGUUGCACAUUCUGUCGACAGUCCAGAGCAAGUGUGCGCGCAUACGCGCAUACAUAUGAUGGCCAUCUAUGACUGCAUUUGCAAAAUGGUAAAUAUCCUCUCUUUAGGGGGAAAAAGGGGCCCAAUAUUGCCAACAGUGACGAAAAUGUGAGGAAUUGAUCACCCCCAACCCCUGACUACAAUGUAAAACAUUACUCACAUUAAAAUGAUCCCAAAACACUUGAAUUCCAUUUCAAAAUUAUUCUUACCCUUAAAAAAUGAAAGGCUUAAUAUUUGAUUAAAAAAGAGGCACUGGAUUGCACAUAUAUUUGCCUUUGCAACCUUGAAAAAAAAACAGUUGUCAAACAAAAAUGAGACCUUUGUCGUUUGUUCAGAGUGUACUUUUCAAGAGCAAAAAGAGAGAGCACAUUCAAAGACUCUCUGGAAUUUCCAAUAACAACCCAGACUAACCUGAGCUCCUCACCCAAAGAUCUUAACAGAUGAGAUGAUCUGUUCGACAGUAAAUCUCCCUUCAUAUUGAGGGUAUGUGGUCCCGGUAUUUCACUUUUUUUCUCCUCUUUUUUUGUAAGUGUUAAUUUUGCAUUUUCAUCAUUUUGCAUCAUCAUUUUUAGUUUAAAUCACAUGUGUCAUGAAAAGAAUAUCCAAAUGUACUGUUUCAACCAAUAAGAAUGUCUUUUUGCCAGCCCCCGAUUGACAGUUGUGUUCUGUCAGUGGACCACCAGCGCGCUGCUCACCUUCCUGGUCACUUCAGCGUUUCCCGUGCUAUAAUGUAAUGAUAGCAGAGUGGUGUCCAGACAUUUGUUGUGCACCCAAGUUCCAAAACAGCAUUAAUUGAGUCACCCAGGUAUAAAAAAAGAAGAAAAGCAGACAGCCAGCAGGCAUGUUCAAAACAAAACAAAAAAACAAUGUAAAAGGCCCGAGUACAUGUUAAUGGUUAAGGCAAUGUCAUACUAUAUGCUUAAGAGACAUUUUCAACACAUGAUGAUCAAGUUUGUUUAGCUCUGAGCAUUUCAUCAUUGAAAUGGCAAUGUACUGAAUUACGGCAGCUUCAUCAACGUCAUCGUCGCUGGCGUGAGGACACGUUGUUGUGUUAGUGGGUUUGUUAUUCAUUGAUCUUACUUUCUCAAUAUAUUAUAAUACGGUAUAUUUUUUUUCUUAUUCUUAUCUUUUGUGAUGAGGGGAUUUACUGUCUUCUACUUCUUUGAAACCAAUUCCUACUUUGCUUUCACCAGGGACGAUGACGCCAUCUCGUGACCUCUUUGGCGUUUCAGAAAGAGCACAAAAACUACGAAUAAGUGAGUUUUUCAGCAAAGAGUUGGGAUAGGUUCCACAGAAAUAAAAUUUCAAAUAGGGGAAUUUAUGAGUAAUCGCGAACAAGCUGGGAUUUACUGUACAGUUGUGAAAUACAUAAUUACAUGUUGCAUAACUUAAAUAUAUUGUCAUUACUCCUAAAAUCCCAAGUAACAUAAACAAAUUUUAUUUUAUCGCAUCAAUAAUUGUCAUAUGAAUGGACAGAAUAUCUCCAUAUCCACAGUGAUAGAUUAGACAUGAAUACAAAAUAUAAAAAACAUUUCCAAAUAUGAUCAAAUUGUGGUCAACCAAUGCCCUGGAACAGACUGUGUUCAACCUUUGGGAAUACUUUGUUAAAAAUAAAUAAAUAAAGUAAAAUGAAAAGCUAACAUUGAUUUAAGUGGUUGCAUAAACGUGUAACUACCCAUAUUAUAAGCAACAUCUCAGUAUGUAUGUAAAUAUGUAGUUGCAGCUACAAAAAUAUACAUGUAGAACUGAUACAAUAAUACUGCAAAUGACUACUGCACUGUUAAGACACCCUCCACUUGUUCUACUUCCAAGG